rnacentral:misc_RNA from 1 species
AAAGUCGUAACAAGGUUUCCGUAGGUGAACCUGCGGAAGGAUCAUUAACACUUUUUAUUAUUUUGUUUUUUUUCUAAAACAAAAUUUAAAACCCCACAAUUUUGGAUGAAUUUAAUUAAUUUAUUUUUUAUUUUAUUUUUUUUAUUAUAACCCUAUUAUUUGACUAACAUUUUUAUUUAAUUAUUAAAAAAUUAAAAAAACAACUCUUAACAACGGAUAUCUUGGCUCUC